rnacentral:ncRNA from 2 species
AGUUUCGCUGCGAAUUUUGGUUUCUAUUCCCUAAUGUUAUAGGGGUAGGAUUAAAAGGGAAUUCGGUGAAACUCCGAAACUGUUCCCGCAACUGUGAGCUUAAUCCAUGUUUAUUGGAUGGCUAUCAUUUCUUCUAAUACCACUGCCCUAAAUUAUGGGGUGGGAAGGUAAAUGAUAGUACGCAAGUCAGGAGACCUGCCAUAUUCAGCACAAAAUA